GUGAGGAAUAUUGGUCAAUGGACGAGAGUCUGAACCAGCCAAGUCGCGUGAAGGAAGACGGUUCUAUGAAUUGUAAACUUCUUUUGUGCAGGAAUAAAGUGGGUUACGUGUAACCUUUUGUAUGUACUGUACGAAUAAGGAUCGGCUAACUCCGUGCCAGCAGCCGCGGUAAUACGGAGGAUCCGAGCGUUAUCCGGAUUUAUUGGGUUUAAAGGGUGCGUAGGUGGAUUGAUAAGUCAGCGGUGAAAGUUUGCAGCUUAACUGUAAAAUUGCCGUUGAAACUGUCGGUCUUGAGUGCAAAUGAGGUAGGCGGAAUGUGUUGUGUAGCGGUGAAAUGCUUAGAUAUAACACAGAACUCCGAUUGCGAAGGCAGCUUACCGGGAUGCAACUGACACUGAUGCACGAAAGCGUGGGUAUCAAACAGGAUUAGAUACCCGAGUAGUCC
rnacentral:rRNA from 1 species